rnacentral:rRNA from 1 species
UGCAAGUCGAAGGCAGCACGGGAGCAAUCCUGGUGGCGAGUGGCGAACGGGUGAGUAAAGUAUCGGAACGUGCCCAGUCGUGGGGGAUAACGUAGCGAAAGCUACGCUAAUACCGCAUACGAUCUAUGGAUGAAAGCGGGGGAUCGCAAGACCUCGCGCGAUUGGAGCGGCCGAUAUCAGAUUAGGUAGUUGGUGAGGUAAAGGCUCACCAAGCCGACGAUCUGUAGCUGGUCUGAGAGGACGACCAGCCACACUGGGACUGAGACACGGCCCAGACUCCUACGGGAGGCAGCAGUGGGGAAUUUUGGACAAUGGGCGCAAGCCUGAUCCAGCAAUGCCGCGUGCAGGAUGAGGGCCUUCGAGUUGUAAACUGCUUUUGUACGGAACGAAACGGUCUGGGUUAAUACCUCGGGCUAAUGACGGUACCGUAAGAAUAAGCACCGGCUAACUACGUGCCAGCAGCCGCGGUAAUACGUAGGGUGCAAGCGUUAAUCGGAAUUACUGGGCGUAAAGCGUGCGCAGGCGGUUUUGUAAGACAGGAGUGAAAUCCCCGGGCUUAACCUGGGAACUGCACUUGUGACUGCAAGGCUAGAGUACGGCAGAGGGGGAUGGAAUUCCGCGUGUAGCAGUGAAAUGCGUAGAUAUGCGGAGGAACACCGAUGGCGAAGGCAAUCCCCUGGGCCUGUACUGACGCUCAUGCACGAAAGCGUGGGGGAGCAACAGGAUUAGAUACCCUGGUAGUCCACGCCCUAAACGAUGUCAACUGGGUGUUGGGUCUUCACUGACUCAGUAACGAAGCUAACGCGUGAAGUUGACCGCCUGGGGAGU